ACCGGCUAAAUACGUGCCAGCAGCCGCGGUAAUACGUAGGGUGCAAGCGUUGUCCGGAAUUAUUGGGCGUAAAGAGCUCGUAGGCGGUUUGUCGCGUCUGCUGUGAAAACCCGAGGCUCAACCUCGGGCCUGCAGUGGGUACGGGCAGACUAGAGUGCGGUAGGGGAGAAUGGAAUUCCUGGUGUAGCGGUGGAAUGCGCAGAUAUCAGGAGGAACACCGAUGGCGAAGGCAGUUCUCUGGGCCGUUACUGACGCUGAGGAGCGAAAGCGUGGGGAGCGAACAGGAUUAGAUACCCUGGUAGUCCACGCCGUAAACGUUGGGAACUAGAUGUGGGGACCUUUCCACGGUCUCCGUGUCGCAGCUAACGCAUUAAGUUCCCCGCCUGGGGAGUACGGCCGCAAGGCUAAAACUCAAAGGAAUUGACGGGGGCCCGCACAAGCGGCGGAGCAUGCGGAUUAAUUCGAUGCAACGCGAAGAACCUUACCAAGGCUUGACAUAUACCGGAAACUUCCAGAAAUGGUUGCCCCGCAAGGUCGGUAUACAGGUGGUGCAUGGUUGUCGUCAGCUCGUGUCGUGAGAUGUUGGGUUAAGUCCCGCAACGAGCGCAACCCUCGUUCUAUGUUGCCAGCACGUCAUGGUGGGAACUCAUAGGAGACUGCCGGGGUCAACUCGGAGGAAGGUGGGGAUGACGUCAAAUCAUCAUGCCCCUUAUGUCUUGGGCUUCACGCAUGCUACAAUGGCCGGUACAAAGGGCUGCGAUACCGUAAGGUGGAGCGAAUCCCAAAAAGCCGGUCUCAGUUCGGAUUGAGGUCUGCAACUCGACCUCAUGAAGUCGGAGUCGGUAGUAUUCGCUCAUCAGCAACGAAGCGGUGACAAGGUAACCGGUCGAGUUUCAUCAU
rnacentral:rRNA from 1 species